rnacentral:tRNA from 1 species
GCGCUGCUAGCUCAACUGGAUAGAGCGUCGGCCUACGGAGCCGAAGGUUGAGGGUUCGAAUCCCCCGCGGCGCG